rnacentral:rRNA from 1 species
UACGUAGGUGGCAAGCGUUGUCCGGAUUUAUUGGGUUUAAAGGGUGCGUAGGCGGUCCUAUAAGUCAGUGCUGAAAUAUCCCGGCUUAACCGGGAGGGUGGCAUUGAUACUGCAGGACUUGAGUAAAGUUGAGGUUGGCGGAAUUGACGGUGUAGCGGUGAAAUGCUUAGAUAUCGUCAAGAACACCUAUUGCGAAGGCAGCUAACUAAGCUGUAACUGACGCUGAGGCACGAAAGCGUGGGGAGCGAACAGG